rnacentral:rRNA from 1 species
GACGAACGCUGGCGGCGUGCUUAACACAUGCCAGUCGAACGGUGAAGCGCCUUCCUUUUUGGUGGGUGUGGAUGAGUGGCGAACGGGUGAGUAACACGUGAGUAACCUGCCCCCUUCUUCUGGAUAACCGCAUGAAAGUGUGGCUAAUACGGGAUAUUCUGGGUCUGUCGCAUGAUGGGUCUGGGAAAGAUAUUGUUUCGGUGGGGGAUGGGCUCGCGGCCUAUCAGCUUGUUGGUGGGGUGAUGGCCUACCAAGGCGGUGACGGGUAGCCGGCCUGAGAGGGUUGACGGUCACACUGGGAGUGAGACACGGCCCAGACUCCUACGGGAGGCAGCAGUGGGGAAUAUUGCACAAUGGGCGCAAGCCUGAUGCAGCGACGCCGCGUGAGGGAUGGAGGCCUUCGGGUUGUGAACCUCUUUCGCCAGUGAAGCAGGCCUGCCUCGUUUGUGGGUGGGUUGACGGUAGCUGGAUAAGAAGCGCCGGCUAACUACGUG